rnacentral:rRNA from 1 species
AUACGUAGGGGGCGAGCGUUGUCCGGAAUGAUUGGGCGUAAAGGGCGCGUAGGCGGCGCGGUAAGUCUGGAGUGAAAGUCCUGCUUUCAAGGUGGGAAUUGCUUUGGAUACUGCCGCGCUUGAGUGCAGGAGAGGUUAUCGGAAUUCCCGGUGUAGCGGUGAAAUGCGUAGAGAUCGGGAGGAACACCAGUGGCGAAGGCGGGUAACUGGACUGCAACUGACGCUGAGGCGCGAAAGUGUGGGGAGCAAACAGAAUUAGAUACCCUGUUAGUCCACACUGUAAACGAUGAAUGCUAGGUGUAAGAGGUAUCGACCCCUUUUGUGCCGGAGUCAACACAAUAAGCAUUCCGCCUGGGGAGUACGGCCGCAAGGUUGAAACUCAAAUGAAUUGACGGGG